GACCACUUUGGCAGCACGUAUACUAAAAUUGGAAUAGCACAGAGAAGAAUAGCAUGGCCCUUGUGCCAAGGAUGGUACACAAAUUCAGGAAGCAUUCCCUAUUUUA